AAAUUGAAGGCUCGUCAAAAAACGAAAAAAAAAGAAAAUAAGUCGAGGACAAAGCGUGGGUGUCUCCUCGGACCUGGCCUACGUCCAACUGAAGCUCAGUCAGAUAUGAGCAGACGAUAAUGCGGAACGCCGCCGGAACCGGUUUGUCCUGCCCGAGCAAGCGGCGUCAGUGUAUGCGCGAGCUAGCGUGCGGCACGUUGUAAAUAGAUUACGCCACAGUGGACGCCCAUCUGCCGAGGACGACGGCACUUCCAAAACGUCCUCGGUGAAAGCGCCAUAUGCGGAUCUCCCGCAACAGUUGAUGCGGGCCGUCCCUGCGUGACAAUCUAGACGAGAGUUCAUGACCCGUGAAGACACAAUGGCUGACUUGAUGCACACAGUGGAGGCGGGGCAUGACUUUGCAGGAAAUGGACCGGUACGUGUCAGCACUCGCUCCCGCAAACAAUGGUGCGGUGGUUCAGUGUAGCGCCUUACGUCAUGGCUGCCCAGCUCAUAACGGGCGCAUGUGUGUGUGUGAGAGUGUGUGCACAAGGUGGGGGUGGGGGGGUUUAGGCAUCCAAACAGAGGCAGAUGGAGCAUAAAGAAUAACCAAAGGCAAAUGACCAGUUCAUCUUAAAUGGAGCACAUUAAACAUCUGUGUGGCUUGA